AUUGAACGCUAGCGGGAUGCUUUACACAUGCAAGUCGAACGGCAGCGCGGACUUCGGUCUGGCUGCGAGUGGCGAACGGGUGAGUAAUGUACCGGAACGUGCCCAGUAGCGGGGGAUAACUACGCGAAAGCGUAGCUAAUACCGCAUACGCCCUACGGGGGAAAGCAGGGGAUCGUAAGACCUUGCACUAUUGGAGCGGCCGAUAUCGGAUUAGCUAGUUGGUGAGGUAACGGCUCACCAAGGCGACGAUCCGUAGCUGGUUUGAGAGGACGACCAGCCACACUGGGACUGAGACACGGCCCAGACUCCUACGGGAGGCAGCAGUGGGGAAUUUUGGACAAUGGGGGCAACCCUGAUCCAGCCAUCCCGCGUGUGCGAUGAAGGCCUUCGGGUUGUAAAGCACUUUUGGCAGGAAAGAAACGUCGCGGGCUAAUACCCCGUGGAACUGACGGUACCUGCAGAAUAAGCACCGGCUAACUACGUG
rnacentral:rRNA from 1 species